UACUGAGGAUCUAAUAUGACUGCCAUUAAAUGUUUGCUGCUCCUACGCCCCAUAUAUUAAGAAAGCGGGCUAAAACUGAUGGAUAGAAGACCCAGAGCCAUUUCAAUGUUGUUUUAGGGCCCCGUCAAUGCAAGUUCAUUUGAGGCUUAAAUGGGACAACAUUGGGGAAUAGUUUAGUUUGUUUUGACAUGCAAGAAAAUCGGUUAAAAUUGGGUUGGUGUCAGAAAUAGAGAGACAUAAAGUCAACAGAUUGAAAUAUUUGAUUUGAUCCAUCCAUAUGCAGCAAAAGUCCUAAAUAAAGGGAAGAAAGGCAACCAUAUUCCCCAGCCCCUACCUCCUUUAUCUUCUCCCCAUAUUUCAACGUUGACACUAGAAGAGGAAGAUUGGGACCUGUCUCAUAUUCUUCUUCUUCUUCUUCUUCUUCUUCUUCUUCUUCUUCUCAUUUGUACUUCAAAGGCAGAACAAAGACGAAUUGGUAGGUUGGCUAAUCGUUGAGAUAGUCAACCGCACAGCAUGGGCAUCCAAUAUCAACCAUAUUAUGCCCAUGUUCCUGAUCAAGCGCAUUACUAUGGGCAACCGCAGCCUUAUUACUACCCUCCUCCUCACCCUGGCCAAAAACCUGUCCCCCGCUACCAUAAAGAGCAGCGUGGUUCAGGAACCAAAUGGUGCCUACGUUGUGUAUGUUGUUGUUGUUGCUGCUUUUAUUAUUUAUUCUAUGUUUAGUUGGGGCAAUGGCCUUCUUUAUUUUAUAUUAUAAUCCCCAAAAGCCUAACUACGAUGUUAAGGAAUUUGCGGUGAAGAGUUUCAAUCUCAAUGACAAUACCCUGGAAACGGACUUUAAGGUUUCGGUGGAGGCAGACAACCCCAAUGAUAAAAUUAGCAUCCUAUAUGAAAAGGGAAGCAUGUUUGAUGUUUCAUAUCAAGGGACAAGGAUUUGUUCAGGGUCAGGGCCAGAAUUUCAGCAACCCACCAAGAAUGUUACCAUGCUCAACAUAUCGUUGGAAGGGAAGAAUGAUUUGAACUCGAAUGUGAAGGACUCUUUCAUUGAGGACCAGAAGAACGGGAAAAUUCCUUUAGACAUACACAUAUAUGUACCCAUAAAAUUUGCGCUUGAGAAUUCCAAGUCGAAGAUCAUUGAUGUUAUGAUGAAGUGCUAUAUAGAAGUUGACAGUUUGAAGCGAGACAAAAAAUCUAAGAUUUUGAACAAGAUAUGUCAUUAUAAGGUUAACUUUUAAACCAAAUAUUCAUGUCCUCUCUUGUUUUCAGGCUGACUUUGAUUUCGUUAUUUCCAGCUGCAGCAAACGUAUAUGCGUGCAUAGGCAGAUUUAAUUUGUAUUACGUUUUGGAAAUGCCUGCACUGAUAAUUAGACGAAGGUUGGCUAGACGAAGGUUGGCUCGAAAAGUGAGAAUAUUUAAGUAAAAAUAUAAAUCCGAAAAUGGAUUUGGAAAAUAUAAGGCCUGUUUAAGGUUGAAUUUUUGGGCUGGGUUACGCCCGACUUGAAUCAACCUAAACUUUCUAUUUUGUUGACAUUUCAUUGUUGUUUUGUUGCCAUCUCAUUUUUUUU